UCUACGGGAGGCAGCAGUGGGGGAUAUUGCACAAUGGGGGGAACCCUGAUGCAGCGACGCCGCGUGGGUGAAGAAGCGCCUCGGCGCGUAAAGCCCUGUCAGCAGGGAAGAAAAUGACGGUACCUGAAGAAGAAGCCCCGGCUAACUACGUGCCAGCAGCCGCGGUAAUACGGAGGGGGCAGGCGUUAGGCGGAUUUCCUGGGUGGAAAGGGGGCGCAGACGGCGAUGCAAGGCAGGAGUGAAAGCCCGGGGCCCAACCCCGGGACUGCUCUUGGAACUGCGUGGCUGGAGUGGAGGAGGGGCAGGCGGAAUUCCUGGUGUAGCGGUGAACUGCGUAGAUAUCAGGAGGAACACCGGUGGCGAAGGCGGCCUGCUGGACUGCAACUGACGUUGAGGCCCGAAAGCGUGGGGAGCAAACAGGAUUAGAUACCCGAGUAGUC
rnacentral:rRNA from 1 species